AGUUCCUGCCCCAAGUGGAGGAGUUCAAGUAUCUCGGGGUCUUGUUCGCGAGUGUGGCUGCCGUCAGCAGCAGUCAUGCAGUUAAAGAUAAUUUCAUGGUUUAAGUUGCAAUAAAUAAGUUAAAAAUACUUUAUUUUAAUAUAUCAGAUUUAAUGUAUACAUCGUUGGGUUUAAAAAUACACAUUUAAAUGGUUUACAGAAUGUUUCCAGGGUGGAACCAAUGUUCAGUCUGUUGUUUUGGGGUUGACAGUAUUUUCAGUUGCACGCCACACUUGAUAGAGGGCAGCAUGCUUUCUUCUGUCACUCGGUGGUAGAGCUAUGCAGACGCAUGCAACGAAGUUUUCCAGCUGUGAAAAGAAGUGACACUGCAAGAUGUGUUUUCAUUAACCCCUGCAAGUUAAUGCGGCCAAUGAGGUAUGCAAUGUGUGUUUAUGUCGUGAUAGGGAAAUAAGAUGUUUGUUUGUAACUGAACUGUUGAGUUUAUGGUGGUCACGUGUAAUUUGUAAAUGUAAAAUUGUGAGUGUUUUAUCUUGUUUAAUAAUGUGCUUUAUUGUUUAUUCUCUAUGAGAACAAUUUAUUGUGGAAAUUGAUUAUUCUAUGUUGUUUGUAUAGUUCUCACGGCAUCGUUGGUGGCACCUGUGUGCAAUAAAUGCCAGUAAAAAUCAAGAACGCCUUGUGUCCGUUUUUCAACUUGGAGGGAGUUACAGUGAGAACUCAGUCUGCUCGACAUGAGGCGAGGAGACGAGGAGCUGUGCCUUUCAUCCACUGAGCAAGAAGAAAUUCAUCGCACUCUAGCAUCAUACAGAUAAGACUGUGCAUACGCCAGUAACCUAAGCAGCAAGCAGUUGAAGUUUACGUGGAUGAUCCUUUAAGUGAUACAUUUAAAACAAGUUAAAUGUUAAGAAGUGGAUCAAUUUUGUCAACUGCUUUAAAGGAACACUGUAAGAACUGAAACUUUAAGUAAUCUGGUGCUCUGCAUAUUUUCUUUCUAAGUUCAUGGUUCUGUCCAAUUAAGAGUUUUUAUAGGUGAAGUCAUUUACCUAUUUGUGUUAUUUGGAUGCUAGAAGUGUUGUAGAAUUAAGUGCUGCGUUGUAUGUGUUGUUGGUAUUCGGAAAAAGUUCACCAUAUUUACGCGACUCAAGAUGGUAUUUAUUUAGAUAUUUUAUUAAGGUUUAAGAUGUUGUAAAUCUUGAAGGUAUUAUCCAUUGUUAAUGUUUUGGACAAGUUCACCUAAAGGCAAGGUUAAAGGUAUAGCUAUAAUUUAUUUUGUGCCAAGUAAUAAGUAAACAUUGCAAAAUGGAUCAAAUGAGUGAAUCUGAAACUAAGAAUAGUGACUUACUUGAGGGUAGUAGUGCCACAAAUGUACAGCAGUCACGUGAAGAGGAGCCACGAAGAAGUCAGAGAUCUCGAAAGCUUACUGAAAAGGCUCAGCAACUGCAUGAUGAUAAGUCAAGAAAACUUCAGCAUCGUUUCACUACAACUUAUGAUAAGUGGAAAGUAACCGCCAAGCAAGCUAAGAAAAUGAUAAAGGGAGCCCCCUCUGUUGAGGUUGUUAAGGAUUUGAUGUGUAAGUUAAGUUGUGCAUCAGCAAAUGUGAAAAACGCAUAUGAAGAUUUGCGCAAAUGUGCUUCCCCAGACAGUGAGAUCCGUCGUAGAGUAGACACCUGUGACGCGGUAUCUAAAAUAAUCUUGGACAAUGCAACCACUUAUCUUCAGAAUAAAGAUAACGAAGAUGUUCAGACAGAGGAUUUAGUCUGGCCUAAGUCUAGUUCAGUGUUUUCAUCUUCAGCUUCUCAAGGCAAAGGUAAGGGCUCUCAAAGAAGUUUAAGCUCUGCAAGCAGUUCCAGCAUAAAGUCACGAAAGUCAAGCCUUUUCUCCAUUAAGAGACAAGAGGCCGUAGCAGAGCUGGCUGCCACACAAGCUGCAUUAAAGGUCCUGCAGGAGAUAGAAUGUGAACAACAGGAACUUGAAAGCCUUGAAGAAGAGGAUAGAAAGAGGAUUGCAUUACAAGAGGAAGAGAAUGUGGCAAGAAAGAAAGCACUGGAAGAGAAGCGCAGACAAAUAGAGCGCUUACAGACUGUUAAGAAGCUAAGUGCGGCAAAAGCACGGUUCCAAGUUUAUGAACAAGAUGCAAGCUCAGAUGAGGAAAUAACAGAGUUACUUCAUAACCACGCAGCUCAGCAACAUAGAUCUCCAGGAGCUAUAAGGAGUCCACGUGAGCAUCCUGUGAUACACCAAGCAGAUAGUGUCACAGUCCUCGCUGAAGCAAUAGCAGAGUCUAUUAAUGUAAGCCGUCUCCCAGCACCUGAACCGUCUGUCUUCAUGGGAGACCCACUAAGAUACAAUGAUUGGAAGAUGUCAUUUCAAACCCUAAUAGGCAGGAAAAACAUUCCAGUAAAUGAAAGGGUCUAUUACCUUCGUAAAUAUGUUGGUGGACCUGCAAAAAGGGCCAUUGAAAGUUAUUUCCUAUUGGGAACGGAUGCAGCUUACAACUCAGCAUGGGAUAUCCUGGAAGAAAGAUUUGGAAGCUCAUUUGUGAUAGCUAAAGCUUUCAAGGAUAAGCUUGCAGCAUGGCCCAAAAUUGGACCCAAAGACAGUGUUGAGCUGAGGGAUUUUUCAGACUUUCUUAGAGGCUGCCAGGCUGCAAUGUCCCAGAUUAAGAGUCUGGAAGUAUUGAACGAUUGUGAUGAAAAUCAAAAACUUCUAACAAAACUGCCAGAUUGGCUGGUGACCAGUUGGAAUAGGAAGGUGAUUGAAAUAGAAGAAACGUGUAAUGUGUUUCCUACUUUCAGUCAGUUUGUGGAAUUCAUCACAAAGGAAGCAAAAAUAGCUUGCAAUCCAGUAACCUCUCUUCAUGCCCUGAAGUCCAAUGAUGUUGAAAAAAUAAAGACAACAAAGACUCGAAACAUUGGUGCAAAGGUGUUUGUGAGCAAAUUGGAAGAGAAUGUAGAACGCAAGAGAUACACCUUUUGUGAAAAAUGCAAUCAUGGUAUUCAGACAUGCUGGAAAUUCAAGGAAAAACCAGUUGCCGAACGUGUUAAAUUUGUCCAGACAAAGAAGUUGUGCUUUGGAUGUUUACAACCAGGACAUCAUUCAAAGACCUGCAAAAGGAGGAGUGUUUGUGAAACAUGUAAGGAAAAACACCCAACAUGUUUACAUGAAGAUCGCGAAAGAGCAACCAGAAGAGAGAAAAGCAGUGAUGAGCAUGGGGAAAGUGUAAAAAACUCAAAAUAUGCUAUGUCAACGGAAAGAACAGAGAGCAAACACACCCCUGAACCAUCAAAUGAAGCUACAUCAAACAGAGUAGUGCAAGGUAUGGACAGCAUGUACUCCUCCACAGUUGUUCCAGUUUGGUUAUCUGCAUCGAGUAACCCAGAGAAUGAAAUUCUUGUAUAUGCACUACUUGACAACCAAAGCGACACCACAUUCAUUAUGCAAGAUAAAGCAGAAGCUCUGGACAUGAAAGGGGAAGCUGUGCAGUUAAAACUCUCCACACUUUCAUCCAGAAAUACAAUCAUCCCAAGUCAAAGGUUAGUUGGACUGCAGGUGAGAGGUUUCUAUUCAUCAAAGAAGAUUUCUCUCCCUGUAACCUAUUCAAGAGAGUUCAUCCCUGCCAAUCUAAGUCACAUUCCUACACCAAAAACGGCAAGAGCUUGGCUACACCUAGAGCAUCUUGCUGAGGAAAUUGCUCCAUUGAUUGAGUGUGAUGUAGGACUUCUCAUAGGAUACAACUGUCCACAGGCUUUGCUACCCCGAGAGGUUGUCCCAGGUAAAGACAAUGAGCCAUUUGCUCAAAGGACAGAUCUUGGAUGGAGCAUAGUUGGUUGUGUUAGCCCGUGUGUCGACUAUGGUGAUGCUAUAGGAAGCAGUCACAAGAUUGUCAUGAAGUCAGUGAAACCUCAUCUCCAGACAUCUAAGAAGCUCACAAAUGAAGUGAAAUACAUAUGUCGAACCCAAGUUAAGGAGUUCAUUUCACCACCAGAUGUGCUGAGGAUGCUUGAGUCUGACUUCAGUGAGAGAAGAGUGGAGGAUGCUAAAUUAUCCCAGGAAGAUUUGCGUUUCCUAACCAUAAUGGAAGAAGGAAUCAAAAUUAAAGCAGAUGGUCACUGUGAAAUGCCGCUUCCCUUCAAGAAAGAUCGACCAAAUCUCCCAGACAAUAAGGUAUGUGCAGUUCACAGGCUUCGAUGCUUGAAAGGAAGAUUUGAAAAAGACAAACAAUACCAAAAGGACUACACGACCUUUAUGAGUGAAAUCAUAACAAAUGGGGAUGCAGAAAGGGUCCCAAUAGGAGAAAUUAACAACAGUCCUGUGUGGUACAUUCCUCAUCACGGGGUGUAUCACCCACACAAGCCAGGAAAAAUACGGGUUGUGUUCGACUGCUCAGCAAGAUAUGAAGGCGUGUCAUUAAAUGAUUACCUUCUCACUGGACCAGAAUUAACGAACAGCCUGAUAGGUGUUCUCUGCCGCUUUCGCAAGGGACAAGUUGCUAUAAUGUGUGAUAUUGAGCGUAUGUUCCAUCAGUUUCACGUCAAAGCAGAGGACCAGGACUACUUGAGAUUUCUCUGGUGGGACGAUGGAAACUUCCAGGCUCAAUCAUCAGUCUAUCGCAUGCGAGUGCACCUAUUUGGAGCUGCCUCUUCCCCUGGUUGUGCAAACUUUGGCUUGAAACAUGUUGCUGCCCAAGGACAUGGUCAUUACAGUGAAACAACCAUUCAGUUCAUUGAACGAAACUUUUACGUGGAUGAUGGGCUCACAAGUGUCGCAACCAAGGAGGAAGCCAUCAAGUUAGUAAAGGAAGCAAGGCAACUCUGCAGUGCUGGCAAACUGCGAAUUCACAAAUUCAUUUCCAACAAUCAUGAAGUACUUGCAUCCAUUCCAGAGAGUGAACGUGCAGAUUCAGUACGAAAUCGUGACUUGGAUCUUGGUGAGUCCCAAAUUGAGAGAGCUCUGGGAAUCAAAUGGUGCAUUGUUUCAGACCAGUUCCAUUUUAGAGUGAUUGUGGAAGAACGCCCACUUUCUAGAAGAGGAGUCUUAUCAACUGUGGCAUCCAUCUAUGACCCUCUUGGCUUUGUGGCACCAUUUGUUCUGGUUGGAAAGCAAAUACUCCAACAGAUGUGUCAAGACAAGGUUGGAUGGGAUGAGCCACUGUCAGAAGAGCUCAAACCACGGUGGGAGUCUUGGCUGUUAGAUUUAAAGAACCUGGCUGACAUCAAAAUUCAGCGCUGUCAUCUUCCAGAAGGUUUUGAGAAAGUUGAAAGAUAUGAGCUGCAUCAUUUCUCAGAUGCGAGUGUUAAAGGGUACGGUGAAUGUUCUUACUUGAGAGCAAUCAGUGUCUCAAACCAAGUCCACUGCUCUCUAGUUAUUGGCAAAGCCAGGGUGACUCCUACAAAGGUCACCACAGUACCCAGGCUUGAGCUAUCAGCAGCAGUUAUUGCCGUGCGAAUGAGUGAGCUGCUUAAAAGGGAGUUGGAAGUUCAAGCCAAAGAAUUCUUCUGGACAGAUUCGAAGGUUGUUCUUGGAUACAUCAACAACGAUGCUAGAAGGUUUCACAUAUUUGUGGCAAAUCGCAUUCAGCGUAUCCAAGAAGGUUCUAAUCCAGACCAAUGGAGAUAUGUGACUUCUGAGAACAAUCCUGCUGACCAUGCAUCACGGGGUCUGACAGCAAAGGGACUAAUUACUUCCAACUGGUUCACCGGUCCAGAUUUUCUCUGGCAGGAUAAACUUCCUGCUGAUGACAUUAAGGCGGGAGAGUUGGGAGCUGAAGAUCCAGAACUUCGUAAGACUUUUGUCCAUAAGACACUGACCACAGAAGAUUCGUUGCUCAAUCAUUUCUCAAGGUUCUCAAACUGGAUAAGGCUAGUUAAAGCCAUUGCACGACUCAUGCGAUGUGUCAAAGAGCUCAAGGGUCUGAUGGGCAGAACAAACGAAGUCACCAGUCUUGAGGAGAGGAAAGAGGCAUAGCUUUUCAUCAUAGCUACUGUCCAAAGCGAACUGUUUUUCAAAGAAAUCAAAUAUCUGAAAUCGAAGGAGACAAUAACAAGAGAUCGUGCAAAUAGGCUGUACAAACUGAAUCCCUUCUUGGAUGAAAAGGGUGUGCUAAGAGUGGGAGGUCGGCUGAAGCAUGCAGAUUUACACCCACACAUCAAACAUCCAGCGAUCUUGCCGAGCAAAACCCACAUAUCAAGGUUACUGAUUGAACACUUCCAUCAAAAGGUUCAUCACCAGGGACGUGGGAUGACUAUGAAUGAGCUGCGAUCAAAUGGCAUUUGGCUAUUGGGAUGUAGUCACGCAGUGUCUUCCUACAUCUACAAGUGUGUCAAAUGUAGGAAAUUCAGAAGGAAUGCUGAAGUACAAAGAAUGGCAGAUUUACCGCGUGAAAGAGUUGGAACAUCGCCUCCCUUUUCCUAUUGUGGAAUGGACUGCUUUGGCCCGUUUUACGUUAAGGAAGGAAGAAAGGAACUUAAACGCUACGGUCUGCUAUUCACAUGUCUGUGCUCUCGUGCUGUGCAUAUAGAGCUUCUCGACGACAUGACCAGUGAUGCCUUUAUUAAUGCUCUUCGAACCUUUAUCGCCAUACGUGGAAGUGUCCGACAGCUUCGGUCAGAUCAGGGCACCAACUUUGUUGGAGCAAGACGAGAGUUCUUGGAGUCUGCAAAGAAAAUGGACCAAGAAAGCCUAAGACAACUAGGUUGUGAGUUUGUCAUGAACCCAGCAUCUGCCAGCCAUAUGGGUGGGGCCUGGGAAAGGCAGAUCAGGACGAUUAGAAGUGUUUUGACAUCCAUUCUGGAUCAUUCAUCUAAAAGACUUGACACUUCAUCCUUGCGUACCUUCCUUUAUGAAGUCAUGGCGAUCAUAAAUAGUAGGCCCUUAACAACUCACCUGUUGAAUGAUCCCACUGGUCCACAGCCUCUUACGCCAAAUCACAUCCUGACCAUGAAGUCUUCAGUGGUUUUACCACCACCUGGUGAGUUUGUGAAGGAAGACCUUUAUCUUCGAAAAAGAUGGCGCAAGGUGCAAUACCUGGCCAAUGAAUUUUGGACCAGAUGGAAAAGGGAAUAUUUGCUGAAUCUUCAGCAGAGAGGAAAAAGGUGCAAAACACAGAGAAAUGCCAAGAUCAAUGACAUUGUGAUGCUGAUGGAUAAUAGUCUACCCAGAAAUGAGUGGAAGUUGGCCAAGGUAACCAAGGUGUACCCUAGUGAGGAUGGAAUCAUUAGGAAACUCGAGCUGCUAAUCAGUGAUGCGACAUUGGAUGACCAAGGAAAAAGAGUUAAUAAGCCAGUGUGUCUUGAGAGACCCAUCCACAAAACAGUUACCCUACUUGAAGCUGAAUAGUUCAGAACUCCUGUCUUUGUAACUUGUGUUUGGCCCAAGAGACUAUUUACACUUAUUUUUUCCUUUGCAAUGAGGUUCAGUUGAAAAUCAGCAGUGAUUUGGUGGGAGUGUGGCUGCCGUCAGCAGCAGUCAUGCAGUUAAAGAUAAUUUCAUGGUUUAAGUUGCAAUAAAUAAGUUAAAAAUACUUUAUUUUAAUAUAUCAGAUUUAAUGUAUACAUCGUUGGGUUUAAAAAUACACAUUUAAAUGGUUUACAGAAUGUUUCCAGGGUGGAACCAAUGUUCAGUCUGUUGUUUUGGGGUUGACAGUAUUUUCAGUUGCACGCCACACUUGAUAGAGGGCAGCAUGCUUUCUUCUGUCACUCGGUGGUAGAGCUAUGCAGACGCAUGCAACGAAGUUUUCCAGCUGUGAAAAGAAGUGACACUGCAAGAUGUGUUUUCAUUAACCCCUGCAAGUUAAUGCGGCCAAUGAGUUCUCACGGCAUCGUUGGUGGCACCUGUGUGCAAUAAAUGCCAGUAAAA